rnacentral:lncRNA from 1 species
UGAAUAUUUUGCUUUUGAGAAGUCUGCAUUUAAAAACGAUAUGUUGAUUUGGAAAGUCCCGGAAGUCAGUUACAAAAUCCACUUUCUCCAUUCAAUCAAUGGAUUUUUUAAUCAUUCUUUGGAGCUGAUGAAAUUCAGAGAUGGUGCGUGAUGGGAAGUGUUUUCCUAGUGAUUGCAUCUUGGAUUAGCUUGCUGCUUUUUUGAAGAUAUUCUAUUGUAAAGGGCAAGAACCUAAUGUGAUGGAUUUAUCUUCAGAGAUGAGCAGACAUGGGAAGAAUCCAGUGAGUCACA